rnacentral:lncRNA from 1 species
GGAAGAAUAUAGAACGAAAACAAGGGGUUUUUUUUUCCAUUAAAUGAUAAACUCCUUCACACGACGCAAUUAGACCAAACUUACAGCGUUUAGAACAUAAAAUAUUCCUUUUACAACAAUAGAACCCUAAACACUAGUAUACAUAACUAACUUAAAAUAUAGUCUAAGCCUUCUUGGGGGAUUUGGUGGCCUUGGAUGGAGAUUUGGGUUCCUUGGAAGCCUUCUCAUUCUUCUUAGGCAACAAAACAGGGUUAAUGUUGGGCAGCACACCACCGUGAGCAAUUGUGACUCCAGCAAGCAAUUUCCCCAAUUCUUCAUCGUUCCUCACAGCCAGAAGCACAUGUCUAGGAAUAAUCCUGUUCUUCUUGUUGUCACGAGCAGCAUUACCAGCCAAUUCAAGAACCUACAUAAUCCAAUGCACACCAAAACACAAUCAAUCACCACAAUCGAAAAAAUUCUGCAAAUAAGAAUCACUGGUUGAUGCAAUUAAUGUUAGGUUACCUCAGCAGCUAGGUAUUCAAGUACAGCAGCCAAAUAUACUGGUGCACCGGUUCCAACACGCUGCGAGUACCUUCCUUUCUUCAAGUAACGCCCAAUUCUUCCAACGGGGAAUUGGAGACCGGCCCUCACGGACUUUGCGACCGGCUUCUUCUUUGGCCCACCGCCCUUUCUUCCUCCGGCGCCUUUCUUAAUCUUUCCACCGGCGUCCAUAACGAAACCCUAGAAAUUAGCUACGCUUGGAAAAUAGGAGGGGGAAUGAGGAAUGAGAAAAGUUAAGAGUGUAUUGAGAAGAAAGAGCUCAGACAGCUAUAGAUAUAGUUUUCCGCGCUCAAGUUCAGAUUGCACGGAUAUACGGUUUUCCCACAAAUAUCGGCCGUUGGAUUGGAUUUGAUCUACGCUUCAUAUUUCUCUCUGUGGCGAUCCGUGUGUUUCCAAUUGACCAAUCAGAUGCUGUUUUGUCAGCGUCUUGGAUUUUUCUUUAUAUCACUUUUAAAAUGCAUCCUUAUGGAUGGAGUUAUCUUUUAAAUGAUUUCUAAAAAAAAAACUCUUGAAAAUAAUUAAAAUAUAUGUACACUGAGUGUAAGAAACUAAGAUUUAUAUGAAAAUUAAAAACAAAAUCUCUUGCCAAGAGUUUCCUGCUAUUUGAAGGAAAUUAUAACAUAGCUUUUUAACUUACUAAAAUAAGAUCAAAUGCGGGUUACACUUGCAAUCUAUAAGGAAAUACUAAAAACAUUAUUAGAGUGAUGAAAAAUGCUUUUCAUACUUAUUCUUUGAUAAAAUAUAUAAUUAAUUAUCUUUAUACAAGAAAUUACGUAGAAAAGAUAGAAAUUAAAUGUGUUUAGGCUUUCUUGUAAUCAUUGUGACGACGUUGAUACAUGUGGUUGUUUUUUCCUACUUUUAUGAUCUUCCCCUUAAUCAGAAUAGACAAGGUUCGGUAAUGUGUACAUUUAUCUUUCUUAGUGAGUGAUCUGAUUAUAUAUUUUUAGUAGCAAUUAUGUUUUUUCUUUUAAACAACAAGUCCACCGUAUUAGUAGGAAACAAAGCCUUAUAUAUUAGUCGGAUUUAUGAUUCAAAGCACUGUGAAUAAAACAUUUAUUCUUUUAAUAGUUUAUAAUGAUUUGAUUAUACUUUAAGUUUUUAAUAAAUUUAUAUUUUUUAAUCGAAUCUUGUUAAAUUUAUGUGUUAAACAAGGUAAUGUGAUUAUUAAAGUAGUUAUUAUUUUAUUAUGUUUGAAUUUAUUUUCAUCAAAUGUAGGUUGUGUGUGGAUGGGGGAUAACUAUUCAAGUAAUGAUUUUAGGUAGGAUUCUGUUUGGCUUGCUAAUAAUGUUGCUGCUUGUUAUUAUUAUUGAAGGAUGCAACAAUUAGAUAAGGAUGGUUUUUUUCUUAUUCUAUUUUCUUGCAAGGACUUAAACCGGAUAAAGCGCUUUAUUAGAGCAUCAUCCAAGAAGAGUGUUGCAUAACUCCUUGUGAAUUGGACAAGGUGAAUACUAUUACAAAAUAAAUUCAAUCGCUGAAUGAUGCAAGAUAUGCGUCAACCAUUAGACACAACUCAAGCACAAGACAUGAAUUUGCAGCAGGUUCAACAGCAUUUGAAGUGUGCAAAUAAUUGUUCGUAAUGUUUCUGUUGCCGUUAACUUAAAAGAAAAAUAAUUAGAAGCUUAAACAUAUUAACGAAUUAUAAAUCAGAUUAACCCAUGAAAUUUGGCAUAGAGCAUUCAUAAUAUUUAAUUAUUUACCAACAUAUAAAUACUUGGAAUUCAUUUAACUGUAUCAAGAAGGUUAAAUAAGAGAGUGAAUAUAGAAUGAAAUUGGGCGAAAACAAGAGGGCUUUCACAUUAAUGAACAAAAUUCACAAAACACAAUUAGACGAAACUCAUAGUUAAAACGUCGAAUUCCCUUCUUGCCACAACCAAAGAACCCUAAACACUGAUAUACAUAACUAAAUCGAAACAUAGUCUAAGCCUUUUUGGGAGACUUGCUCGCCUUGGAAGGAGAUUUUGGUUCCUUAGAAGCCUUCUCGGUCUUCUUAGGCAACAAAACAGGGUUUAUGUUAGGCAGCACACCACCGUGAGCAAUUGUGACUCCGGCAAGCAAUUUCCCCAAUUCAUCGUCGUUCCUCACAGCCAAAAGCACAUGUCUGGGAAUAAUCCUGUUCUUCUUGUUGUCCCGUGCGGCAUUUCCAGCCAAUUCAAGAACCUAAACAGUCGAAUCCACAACAAAAUACAGUCAAUUACCACAACACAAAAAAGAACCCCGGUUAGAAAUAAUUGAUUCAUGCAAAUGAUGCUAAGUUACCUCAGCGGCUAGGUAUUCCAGAACAGCAGCCAGAUAAACAGGAGCACCGGUUCCCACACGCUGAGCGUAUCUUCCUUUUUUCAAGUAACGGCCAAUUCUACCAACAGGGAAUUGGAGACCAGCCCUCACAGACCUUGUGACCGGCUUCUUUUUUGGCCCACCACCCUUUCUUCCUCCGGCACCCUUCUUAAUCUUUCCACCGCCGUCCAUGUCGAAACCCUAGAAAUUAGAUGCGCUUGAAAAAAAAAAGGAAGAGGGAGCAAGAAAUCAGAAAGGUUAGGAGUGUGCUGUUAAGAAGAUGCGUUGACACCGUGUUAUAGAUAUAGUUUUCCUCGCUCAAGUUCUCAUUAAAAGGAUACCGUUUUCGCGCACGUAUCCGCCGUUGGAUUGGAUUUAAUCUACGCUUAACGAUUCUCUAUGUGGCGAUCCGUGUUUUUCUACUUGACCAAUCAGGUUAUGUUUUGUCAGCGUCCAUUUCUUUUCUUUGUUAUUUAUAUAUGUCUAUUUCUUUUCUUUGUUAUUUAUAUAUGUCUAUUUCUUUUCUUUAUUAUUUAUAUGUGUCUAUUUCUUUUCUUUAUUAUUUAUAUAUGUCUAUUUCUUUUAUUUAUUAUUCAUAUGUAAGGAUUGGUAGACUUUUUUUAUAAUUUUAUCCUUUUAAGUAAUUAUUAUUUUUACUUUUACGUUUCAAAGAAAUAUUAAUUUAAAUUUAAUUAAUUUUAAAAUAAAAAUAUUAUUUUACUAUUUAAAUAUUUUAAAUUAAUAUUUAUUUAAAUUCAGUUGUUGUUUUUGAUUAAAUUAAUUAUUUGUAGUAAGAAAAUGUUACCAAUAUAUUCAUAGUAUAUGUGUACAAAACCUUUCUUUUGCGCAAGAAGGUGAAUGCCUUGUUCAAAAGUUUGAAAAAUCGGGAAGAUAGGUUUAAAGUUGCCAUGAAGGACGACUCAAAUCGCUCUAUUUUGCGUAACAGGUUGAGACAAAGUGUAAGGAUAUGACAAUGUUUAUGAAUGAAUUGGUUGUGAUAUCAUUUAUGGGUGGAGAUAUGUGGUUAUGAUUCGUUAGAUUUGCGUUUAAUGUUCUAUUUCUGUGUUAUAUGUUGUGAUGUUAUUUUUGUUCACCCUACCAUGUUUGUGGUUGUGGUUUCCACCUGCAAUGAUCGUACUUAUACAUAAGUGAAUAGUGUUGCACAUGAUACUGGAGUGCAGUAGUUUGACGAAAAGGAAAAUUAGUUUUUCUAAGAUUUUAUUGAUUUUGUUAUUUAAAUUUUCUUUUCAAAUUUGAUGUUUUGGUAAAGGUUAUUUUUUGUAUUUUUUUGCAUUUUGUAAGAACAAUGUUUAUGAUUUGUGAUUUUUGUUUCUAUAGUACUAUUAAAAUAAAGUAUAUUCUUUAUCUGAAUAGAUCGAUUUUAUAGUAAGCUAUGUAAGGAUAGUAUAAUUUUGUUUCAUACAUGACAUCCGAUUAGGGUACUACAAUGUUUUCCUAUUAUUCCCUUUAAAAAUGAAAUCAUAUGCGAAAAAUAAAUACAAAUACACUCUAUAUAAGCGGUUCUUUUUAUGUUAUGGAUGUAGUUUUCUUUUAAUUAUUUCUAAAACAAAAACUCCUAAAAAAUAUUUAAACAUAUGUAUUGAAAAUAGAUAAUACUUAAAUUAUAAACUAAUAACUAUAAUGUCAAUUUCUCUUGCUUGUAAUGUCUGUGUAAGAUUUUAACUUAAUUCUUAUAUUAUGUGAGUUUGAAAUAAUGAAUAUUUGGAUUACGAAUUUUAUUACAUUCGUCCUUAUUAAAAUUUUAUAAAUUUUCCUCAACUUCACAAAACUUUUUAGUCAAUGAAAUAUUUCAAUUGUUCAAGUUCUAUCUUAUCAAGUUUACGCAUCAUAAAACAUUUAAGUUCUUCGACCAUCUUCUCAUUUUUGUUACUAAAACCAAUAUCAUUAACAUACAAACACACAACCAACAUUUUACCUUUAUUUUUUACUUCAAUACCUUGAAAUCUUCUUAAUCAAAUAAAUAAUUAAUAAGACUAUACGUGAUUCAUGGUGUUUACUUCAAUCCAUAUAAAGCAUAUUGCUUAGCUUAUAAGCUGUCUAUUUGAUGCAAGUGGUUGAUUAGUAAAAAUAUAUUGAUUAAAUUAUCUAAGAAUAAGGUAGAGUUAAUAUUUAGUUUUAGCAAGUGAAAUCAUUAAACAUCUUUUUUUCAUGUGUGACAAACACAAAAAACUCAUAAUAAUUUAUAUUAAAAAAAUUUAUAUUUUUUUUUAAUGAGACUUGUUUCAUAUUAUUCUUCAUCAUCAUUUUUAUUUGUUUUUAAUUUAUAUAUCCAUUUCACAACAACCAUUUAUUAUCUUGUAACUCAAUUAAUUUUGUAACUAAUUUUUUAGAUUUGGUAUUGACCAUAAUGUUAGGUUUACACAAGAAACCAAACAAUUAAUUACAUAAUGCAUCGAAUAGUCCAACUUUCAUAGAAAUACUAUCUAUACUAAUUAACUUAGAGAAUGUAUGAUUACCAAUAAUUAGAUUAUAAUUAGAGCAUAGUUAAUACAAAGUUCAUUUCAAAAAUUAUAAAUAUAAGUUUUAAGUAAAAGAUAAGUGAUAGAAAGAUUUAGACCUUAAAACAUACAUAAGAGAACAAACAUCAACACCGUAACCAAAACAUGUUUGAUUUUAUAUUAAUUUUAACUAUUAACAUACUUUCGUAAAUUUUACUUUCAAAACCUUAAAUCUUAUAUGAAAGUUGGCUCAUUUGUCAUAAACAUGACAGUUUGUUGAAUAUUUUCCCUUAUAAAACCACGCAUUCAAGUUGGUUGUCUUCUCAUCUUGCAUUCUCAUGAAUGGGAGGCGUAGAGAUCUCUCUUGGAUGAUAACUGAGUUUCAGUUAACAGGUAAGCUGCAAGAAAUAAGAUCCUGAAUAGGUUAGAAGAACCUUAAUGGGUUGGAAAGCAGCAUCUUUUCACCACAAUACGUAUACAAAUGAUGAGUUUGGCAACAUGCGCCAUGAACUAUCGAGUGUGUUUUCUGAUGAUUACUUACAUGUCAUUAGGUGUUCGCUCGGUAAUUCCACUUGCCCAUUUUCGAUCUUUACUUCUUAAGGGCUUAAAGGAAAUAAAAUGCACGAAAACAUGCGUCACCCAUUAGACACAAUUCACAUAUAAUACAUCAAUUUGUAGCAGGUUGCAGAUCACGAGCAAUAAACAAAAUCUUUGUUCACAACCGACAGUAACCAACUCCACAGAUUUUUUUGCCAUCAUCAAGUCUCCUCGUAACAAGAAGCCUAUGAGUCAUUUCAGAAUACAUUUCAGAGCAAUGCAGUCAGUUCGUAUAUUCAUAGGAAUAAUUAAAAUCCUCAAACGACCAUUACUUGAAUUAAAUAAAAAACAGAGCCCACUAAAAAUCAGAUUAAACCACUAAUUGCGCAAGGAAAAUGGCAAACAACAUUCUAUAAUCUUUUAUGACUUCUCAACCCACUACGCUAGGAAUUAAUUUCAAUGUAUCGAAAAGGUAAAAAAAAUAGCAAAAAUAAAUAAACAGAUACGAUGGGAGAAAAUUGGGCGAAAACAAGAUGGUUUUCAUGUAAUGAACAAACUUCUUGGAGUACACAACUAGACCAAACUUCAGUGUUUCAAACAACAAAUUCCUUUCUUGAUACAACCAGAGAACCCUAAACACUGAUUUACAGAACUAGAUUAAAUUAUGGUUUAAGCCUUCUUGGGAGACUUAGUGGCUUUGGAUGGAGAUUUUGGUUCCUUGGAAGCCUUCUCAGUCUUCUUAGGCAACAAAACAGGGUUUAUGUUAGGCAGCACACCACCGUGAGCAAUUGUGACUCCAGCAAGCAAUUUCCCCAAUUCCUCGUCGUUCCUCACGGCCAAAAGCACAUGUCUGGGAAUAAUCCUAUUCUUCUUGUUGUCACGAGCAGCAUUUCCAGCCAAUUCAAGCACCUACACAAUCAAAUCCACACCAAAACACAAUUUAUUGCCACAUCACAAAUUUAACCACAGUUAACAGGAACUGAAUGAUGCAGUUAAUGCUAAGUUACCUCAGCAGCUAGGUAUUCAAGAACAGCAGCCAAAUAAACAGGAGCACCGGUUCCGACACGCUGAGCGUAUCUUCCCUUUUUCAAGUAACGCCCAAUUCUUCCAACGGGGAAUUGGAGACCAGCCCUGACGGACCUAGUGACCGGCUUCUUCUUUGGCCCACCGCCCUUUCUUCCUCCGGCACCCUUCUUGAUCUUUCCACCGGUGUCCAUGUCGGAACCCUACAAAUUAACUCCGCUUGAACAAUGAGAGGGGAGAGAGGAACGAGAAAGAUUAAGAGUGUUGUGAAGAAGAUGCGUUGACACCUUGUUAUAGAUAUAGUUUUCCGCGCUCACGUUCUCAUUAAAGGAAUACCGUUUCCGCGCACGUAUUUCCCGUUGGAUUGGAUUUAAUCUACGCUUCAUGUUUCUCUAUUUGGCGAUCCGUGUUUUUCUAAUUGACCAAUCAGCUACUGUUUUGCCAGCGUGUAUUUUCUUUUGUUUGUUAUCACUUUUAAAAUGCACUCGUAUAGGAAAUAAAUACGAAUACAUUCUAUACGGAGUUUAACAUUAGGGUUGCAAUUAUUUUUUAAAUGAUUUAUAAAACAAAAACUCCUGAAAAUGUUUAAAUUAUAUAGCAUGUAGGAAACUAAGAUUACGUGAAAAUUAAAAACAAAAGCUCUUACCAAAGAAAUGAUAAUCUAAUUUUAACUUAAUGAAAUAAAAAAAAAAUGGUUGCAUUUGUAAUAUAUAGGACAAUUAAAAGUAAAUAUUAAAAAAUUAAUUUAUUACAAUGAUUAAAAAUGUUUCUCCUACUUAUUAUUUGAUAAACUGAUAUAAUUAAUUUUCUUCGUACAAUAAAUAACAUAAAAAUAAAAAAUAAAUAUUUAAAUAUUAAAAAUUAAUAUCUCACUUGAUAGUAUAAAAUAUUAAAAAAACAUUAUAAAAUUAAUAAAAACAAGGUCAGAUAAUAAAAAAUAUAUAUGAUAUGAAUAGAAUUAUCCAUCAUAAUAAUUAUAGUAAAAAAAAUAUAUACAACAUCAACUAAAAAUUACACUGGAAUUUUUAAAAGAAGAAAUAACUCUUAUACAAAAUUACAAAAAAAAUAUUAUAGAGUUGUUCCACCAAAUUCUUACCUAGUUGAAAUAUACACGAGUUUUUCAAAAGAAAAUAACUCAUAUACAAAGUCAUUAAAGAAAACUAUAAAACCACAUCACAACAUCAUCACAUAUCUCGAUAUUUGUUCACAUAAUAAAGUGAUCAUCACAAAAGCACAACAAAACACAAAAAGAGUAAAAAAAAUAAGCUAAUGUGCAAUAGAUUUGGCCAAAUUAAUCAUAAUACAUCAAUUUAUAAACUAAACAUGUAUAACGUAUCACAAAUCAUAUAUUCUCACAAGCAUUUAAACUAGACUGAAUUAUCUAGAUACAUUCCUUUGACAUGGGUCUCACCACAUAACUCAUUUUACUUUAUUUGAGUGUGAGUAAUUAUUAAAGUUUAGGGUACCUUCUUUCUGAUAACCCCCAUAUAUGUUAAUGCAAAAACUAACAAAACCAGAAACCAAUCCUCCUUGGAUUGGUUCCAACCAUUCUCAGAUAAAUAUCAUUAAUCAAUCAUCAUUUUAACAUUUACAAAAUCAGACAUUAAAACAUACUAGAAGAAAACAUUUGAAAAUAGAGAUAAACUUUGUUAAUCUUACUCAACAAGAAUAUAUAUUUUCUCAGCGAAUAGUACCUAAAAGCACAUUCGCCCAACGACCAAUUAGCUCCCUUAGUGAGAUUAUCACUAGAACUUACAAGCUUAAAUUCUCUCAAAGUUACCUAGUGAGACUUGUCUUGCCCAACCACUAUCUAGUUAGUGAAUUCUCUGACUUUGGUUUCGUCCAACGAGUAUUUUUCAAGCGACCACCAGGUUAAUAGCUCUUUGACUUCAUAUAACGAUUAUAUUCUCGCCUAGUGUCUACAAGUCAGUAAACUCUUUGACUUUAGUUUUGACUAACGAGAUUAUUCUGACUCAACGAUCAUCAAGUGAGUAACUCUUUUACUUUAACUUCGUCCAACGAGUCUGCAUAAUCAUGCAAAACCUAAUUUUGCAAAUUUAUGUCAAUCUGGCUAGGAAGUUCAUUCCACUAGCCAACACAGAUGUUCAAUUCAAAUUUCACUACAUUUGAUGAUUCAAUCAACAUCAUCUGCAAUACCAAUAAGACAACAUCCUUGAUUUCAUCAUGCAAUUUAUGUAAAUUAAUUUAUAACCUUAAUUACAACCACAUUCACCAAUUCUUAUCCACACAACUCACUCAUACAAGAAAAACAUCAUACAAGCAUACAAUUAACAAUUACAAUAUAUCAAUCGCAUGAAAACUAUGCAAUUAACUUUCCUUACUUGGUAGACAUUCUAAAUUGAUCAAUAACACUUAAAACACCUUCAAACGCGCAAAAGGUUAUAUCUUCCCCCAUGAAAACAACAUAUACAUGAUCAAAGCAUAACAUUAGGUCAAUUAAUUAGCAAAUACUAGCAAAGAAAACCUAAACACUACAUAUGAGUCAAAACGGGUCACAUGUAAAGAAAGAAUGAACUGACUAGUAAAAAAAUAAAAAAUUAACUUACUCUAUUGAAAAAACUGAUCAAACAGAAGUGAAUAAAUCACAAAAAUCACUCUAGAGGUUUUUGAUCUUUAAACAAAAAAACAAACUGUAAAAAAACCUAAAAAAGAAGGAGGAAGUUUCAAAGGAAAAGUUUUUAGAAAAAUUAUGUGUUUCUAAAUAAUAAAAUUCAUUUAUUAAAACUCUAUUUAUACUUUAAACUUUUAAUAUUUAAAUAAUCGAAUGUUUUUAUCUUAAACACAUUAUGAAUUAAAAAACAAUAUUUUUUUAAGGCUUUUACAAAAGAUAUGAAUCUUUUAAAUUAAUAUUAACUGAUAAAUAAAUAUGGAAUUGAAAAUUAAUUUUGUUUUACCAAUUAAACACUUUUAAUGAAUUGAAAGUUAAUUUCUUUAGAUUAUUUGAUUAAGUAGUACUUACAAAUAUAGAAAAUUUUAAAGAUCUCGUAUAAAUCAACUUGUAGUCUAAUUAUUUUUUUUUUUAUUUGAUUUCAAUUAUAGACUAAAUUUUUAACUCUUUUUAAAACUUAUACAGAAAAUGAAAGUUAACGUGUAGGUCUAAGCAACGAUAGUUUGAUUACAUUCAUGCUCAAUUUGAUCAAUCAAACUUAACUUGAAUUUAACGUUUUAAAUUUAUAUCUAAUCAUAUUGAUAAUUCAUAUCACGGUUAAAUAUGAGUGAGAUUUUCAAGUUUAAUUUUAUGGAAUCAAUCUUUUAAAAAAAGAAAAAACUUAUUUUAAUUUUAAAUAAAUGAAAUAGUUUAAUAUUGGAUAAUAAAGUGGUAUGAAACAUGGAUCUCAUGGACUUGAAGUUGAAUCAUACUCCCUAAUUGAUUAUGAACUUUUAACAAAGUCUAAGUCUAAGUUAUCUUAAUUCCAUUUCGGGACAACCUUUAUGCAUGGAAUGUUAUUGACUAUCCCAAGGAAGAAGACAGGGAUUCUUGAAGAUGUUUAUUUUAGUUGUUGGUUGGAUGAAAUCAUCUUCACCUCUGGUUAGAAAGAUAAUAAAGGAUAUUAGUCAUACAUGAAUCUUCAACAAAAACAUAGAGAAAUUAGAUUUGUAAUCGUGAAAAAUAGAAAUAUGACGAUAGAAACAGAGUUAACCGUGAAACUUUCAUUUUUUUACUCAGAAAAAUGCAAUAUUAAUCUCCAUAAUUGACCAUGCGUUUAUUUUUCUUUUUUGGAUUUUUUGAAUUUGGAUGGUUAUGCUUCUUUGCGCAGGCCUACUAAUUGUUAUGUUUUUAUUAUAAAUAAUAUAUUCGUUGAUAGCUUAAUUAUUACAUUAUCAUUACAAAAAGUUGUUAUACUAUCCUUUUUUAAGUGUGGAAAUCUUUAAAACCCAACAAUUUCAAUAUGGUAGUUGGAGCAACAAAUUGCUUUAGAGAAUGACAAUUAUUUUUUCCUUCGAGACUAAGAAAUAACACUUUGAGCUUAACGAGAAAACAUACUGUCUUAUGGAAGAAAGGAAAGGCAUCGGUUAUUUAUCUAUUUUUCUGAUGACACAUUCUCGAUGACUACUCCUUUACCGGAACAAUUUAACGACGAAUAUUUUGAAGAUGUAAACUUCUUAGCAAGAGACGUCUAUACAUCGAUUAUCAUGUUUUUUAAAUUAAAAAGUGUUCUAUUAACAACUUUCAAAAAUAAUAAGUUCUCAAAUUUAAAGACAAUCGUCACACAUGCAAGCAAAAACGUAUCUUACAAGAACUCUUAAAAUAAGUCAAGCAAAGGUUGAAUAAUUCUGUACAAGAAUCCGCCUAUACCAAUUAAUGAAAAUAUUUACAGGGCAUUACGAUUAUGUUAAUUAUGUAAUGAAAAUGUAGGCAAAUAAUAUUGAAAUGUUAUAUUUACACGACAAAACUCAAACUUGGACCUGCGUGACUAGCCUUAAUAGAGAUAUGAAUUAUAAUGCAUAGAAACUCAGGUUACAGAAAAAUAAACGAGUUCCAAAACUACGACUCCUCGACUUCUAACUUCAGCAUGCGGGCACCACACUGGAAGUUUUACUGUAAAAAUCACCUUAGCAACCGACGUUAUACUGAACUAUUUUAUUUGCGUGAGAACAUCUAUAAAUGAACACAUUAUUUUGCUAUCAUAUUGACCAGUUGAAAAUCCUCCGGUACAGAGGAGAAACAGGCUCUGUAAAAAGCAUACUUUACCAUCCCCUACCAUCCCAGGGUAAGGUGGCAUAUAUGCAACAGGCUCUAUAAUGACAAUUAGUUCGACUGUAACUGCAAAAGCUAUUCAGAUUAGCACCCCCAAUAAAGUAAGCACUUCGAGUUCCUCCUUCCCUAGUUACCACUCAGUUCCACUAGGAGAAAAUGUGGAUUGUAAGAAAGACUAACACUUCCGAAAUUUGCACAUCACAGAAUAGGCCAAAAGAAAACAAUUCACAACAGGGACAACUUAAUCUGAAUGCAACCAGAGUGAGCAUACCAAAAAUACUAACUCCUUCAGCAUCCUUAUCCCGGAGGCUCUUCAUCUGUCGAAAUGUUCUUAGCUUGACCAGUGCACUCAACCAGUGAAGAAAAGAUGAUAGAUUCCAUCUCACUAGCUAAUAUGCCAAAAUUACCAAAAUAGUUGAGAGAAAAAUUACUCCCCUAAAACAACAGAUAAGAAAAUCUUAAGAUUGCAUUACAUUAAGAUUCUAUUUGGAUAAACAUCUCCACAAGAACUUGAAGAAUAAAAUAAAUAAAUACAUAAACUUCUACAUGUUAAAAUUAGCAACUUCACAAGCUAAUAUAAAAAACUCACAUUCUAGCUCUUCCAAAAAUAGGUUUUUAACUUACAUAAGUUAUUGUAAUAAAAACUUAGGCACAAGUCACUUUUAGCUUAUUAAAGAAACUUCAUUUCCGAUAAGUACUUGAAAAGAAGUUUAAUAAAAAAAAAAGACCAAAAUCAAAUGAGACAAUUAUAGCACAAGACAAACAACACUACAAAACAGAUUAAAUUAUCAAUUUUCUUUCAGGGAGGAAGGCUGAAGGAGAGGGAAUUAGUGCAGGAAUCUACCUUAUUUGAAGAUUCCAUUGCAAUAGUUUUAACCAAAGCACAAAGCAACAUAAUGAGUGAAUUCUGCAGCCUCCUACAUUCCAGCCAAUGCUUUCUUUGUGCUGUGUGCAUGCAUAGAUGGAUCAGGAUUCCCACUUCCAUACUCACUUGUCGAAUAAAGAAAUGAUUAAAUCCAAUGAAAGGAGCCAGAGUGAAUAAUACAAGCUGAGUUCUGUUUCUUCAGCCACAUUUCAUAGUCAUACCCAAGGAAAAUAAAUAUUUGAUAACAGAAUCCCAAACUACAUAUAUCAACUGUAAAAGUUUUCACUCUAAGUUAUCCUUUCCUUUCCGUAAAAGCAUGACUUCGAUAAAGAUACAUAAUUGGGCGGUGUUUCACUGACAUGCCCUUGACAACCGCAAAUGUAAUAUCAAUAAAACAGAAUAUCAGUGAUUCCUUCAGUUCAAUUGCAUAGCCUCAGCAUGAUACUUCUCCAACUCAGCAUCGAGAUCUUCAGCAGAUACCUUUUCAUCACGACCUCUACCACGUCCUCUACCCCUCCGACUGCCACCUCGCCCUCUAGGUGCACCACGCGGCCUUCCUAGUGGCCCAUUUCUCCCUUGUCCACUGUUUAAAAGUCAAAGGCAUGAUACAGACAAUCAGCUUAAAUACAGGAUAUUGGCGUGUUUAAAAUUUGAAAUAGCAAAUUCAAAGUGAUUAAUGUAAAAAAUGAAAUUCCCUUAAACUAAUCUCAAACCUAAUUGAUAAUUUUUUGCAACAAAGAAACCACAAAACAGACAAAAUAUUAAGGCAAAACCUAAAAUCAUAGGCAUGAUAUGCAUACCCAAAAGUAUAUUCCAACAUAAAAAAAUUCAGAGCAAGAUUGGUCACGGUUUAGACCACAAAAAAUCAUAUCAAGUAAAGUAUGCACACAAAUUUAUCUAUGAAGUCAAUACCUUCUGGGAGGUCCACCAGGAUUUCCAAAAGUCCCAUUAACAGUGGGCGCUGCAGUAUGUGUGGCGAUAUUUGUUCCCACAAUCUCUACCUUCAUUGGUUUCCCGUCUAGCUGAACAUUGUGGUACCUCUUCACCGCAGCUACAGCAUCAGCACGUCGAGAGAAGACUACUUCUGCCGUACCCUAUAUGAAAAACAACUUUUAUAAACUACAAAAGGACACAUUGAAUUGAUCACAGGGUGCUGGUUGUGUCGAAUAGACAAGAUACCUUGGAUCUUCCACUCCUAUCGUAGUGAACAGUAUGCCGUUUCAGGUCACCAACUUCAAGAAAUAACUCCUGCAAGUACAACAAAAUACAACAUUAACAACCUCGCACAUGAAAAUGCCUUGUAACAACCAAAUUUUUUACACACACCGCAUAACAAAUCAUAAUUCAAAAAAGUAAACGAAGAAGAAAACACAAAAUAUGUGAAAUUAAUUGAUUUAACACUUCAGUAUUAAACUGGUCUCUACACAUGUGUGCUCAAAUUGCACAGGUCCUAUUUGUAAAAAUUGUUUUUAGUCCACGGACAAGCUGCUUUUGAUUUAAUGAUAUUUGGCCCGGAUUGGUACAUCCCCGGAUAAUAUAGUUGCAGUAUAGUGGUCAAAGUUAACAAAAACAGAAGACAACCGGCAAAAUUACAUGCAAAUAUAGGCACAAAACAGCAAAAAUACAGACAAGUAUAAGGUCAAAAUUAAUAAUAAACCUUGACAAUUAAACGCACACACUUAUAAAUGAAAAACAAAUAAAUUGGAAGACGCUUGGUCCCUUUUUCGGUAAAAGACACUUUGGUGGCCGAUUUGCAUACGUGUGGUGCUGCCACGACGUCUCCAUCGAAGCAGGAACCUAGCAUGCCUGGAGAUGGCAUGGCAGCACGACAUGUAUGCGGAUAUGUCAGAGCAAGAGGCCACUUUUGAAGAGGAGAUCAAGAGCCUUCCAUAGAAAUCAAUUUUCUCAGAAGGCUAAAUAGUACAAACAACGCCAAAACAAAUCAAAUUAGUAGAAAUAUGGAACACGCAAGUAGCCAAAUACGAACACAGUAGAGAUCUUACCUUAAUAUCGUCAUUAGAAACGCCAUAAUCCAGAUUAGAUAUGUAAAGCUUCGUCCCUGUUUCGAUGGAAGACGCCCGACCACCUUGACCUGCGAAAGCCGCGGCGGCUGGCUGAUCGGCGUACAUAUCGUGCUGCCACGCAGACUCCGGCGCCUACACAAGUCGAUCCGUAAAGGUGAGACGAAUUAAGGCACAGCGCGAAUCUACGAUCGGAAAAGGUAUCUUCGAAACAGAAAACCUAAUGGGAUGAAAACGAAUACCUUAGCGGUGGCGUACGGCGCGGCGCGAUUUGCGGCCCGGUUGGGUAGACGGCGAGCAGGUCCGGGUCCCGAAGCUCGGCCUCGGCCCCUGGUGUUGGCGGAGGCAGACUUCUUGUUGUUCUUGAUAAUAUCGUCGAGCGUCAUAUCCAGAGCAGCAGACAUUUUUGGUUGUGAGAGAGAGAGAGAGGCGAGGAACG